UUCCAGUUCCAAUAGCGUAUAUUAAAGUUGUUGCAGUUAAAAAGCUCGUAGUUGAACUUCAGACCUGGCUGGGUGGUCCGCUUAACGGCGUGUACUGCUUGGCUGGGCCUUACUUCUUGGUGAGCCGGCGUGCCCUUUAUUGGUGUGCGUCGGGGAACCAGGACUUUUACCUUGAGAAAAUUAGAGUGUUCAAAGCAGGCCUAUGCCUGAAUACAUUAGCAUGGAAUAAUAGAAUAGGACGUGCGGUUCUAUUUUGUUGGUUUCUAGAGUCGCCGUAAUGAUUAAUAGGGACAGUUGGGGGCAUUGGUAUUGAGUCGUUAGAGGUGAAAUUCUUGGAUCGUCGCAAGACGGACAGAAGCGAAAGCAUUUGCCAAAAAUGUUUUCAUUAAUCAAGAACGAAAGUUAGAGGUUCGAAGGCGAUCAGAUACCGCCCUAGUUCUAACCAUAAACGAUGCCAGCUAGCGAUCCGCCGAAGUUCCUCCGAUGACUCGGCGGGCAGCUUCCGGGAAACCAAAGCUUUUGGGUUCCGGGGGAAGUAUGGUUGCAAAGCUGAAACUUAAAGGAAUUGACGGAAGGGCACCACCAGGAGUGGAGCCUGCGGCUUAAUUUGACUCAACACGGGAAACCUCACCAGGCCCAGACACCGGAAGGAUUGACAGAUUGAUAGCUCUUUCUUGAUUCGGUGGGUGGUGGUGCAUGGCCGUUCUUAGUUGGUGGAGCGAUUUGUCUGGUUAAUUCCGAUAACGAACGAGACUCUAGCCUGCUAAAUAGGCGUACCUUAUGGUAUCGCGAAGGCCCCCGGCUUCGGCCGGUGGGUUUUUACUACCAACG
rnacentral:rRNA from 1 species